rfam:Mus musculus chromosome 10, GRC primary reference assembly.
GGGAGUGUAGUUCCAUUGGUAGAACGCUUGCCUGGUAUGCAUGAGGCCCUGAGUUCAAUCCCCAGAACUUUAU